UCAAACAUAAUCUUGGGUGCUGUUGACCUU
rnacentral:piRNA from 1 species